CAGAUACCCAAAUAUGUUCCACUCCAACGAGAGGGAUUUCGUGGUGAAUAACACUCCGGGAUGAGUCGCAUAUACCCAAAUAUGUUCCACUCCAACGAGAGGGAUUUCAUAGUGAAAAACUACCGGCAAGAGUUGCAUAUACCCAAAUAUGUUCCACUCCAACGAGAGGGAUUUCGUGGUGAAUAACACUCCGGGAUGAGUCGCAU